CGAAGUGGUGUGGAGCCGAAGGGGACUGCGAUUUAACGGUGAUGGAGCCAUUUGGACUGAGUCUUGAAGAUCUCUUCGGUUUUUGUUCAAGGAAACUUAGUCUCGAGACAGUCCUAUUGCUCGCUGGCAAAAUGGUGAAUAGGCCUGUAUCAUUAAAGGAAAGACUCAAAAUGGGUUUUGUUUCUCUUAAGUACAAAGUGCCCCAUCUAAAGUGAUUACAAAGUCUUAAAUGAUUGUUAAAAAGCAGACUUGUGCUGUUUGCAAACCAUCUGUUGCACUGCUCAAAGACAAAAGACGUUCACCAGAGAAAGUUUUUGGAAAGAAAUGUCAAAUAGGCAUGGGGAAAGAGCUGGAGAGGUUUAUGUAUUGUCUAUCGAAUUAUGUUCUCUUUCAUGCCCUUACAUUUUACAAUAAAAAGUUUCAUGACCUCUUUUCUCGUUAAGACAA